AGUGAACGCUGGCGGCAGGCUUAACACAUGCAAGUCGAACGGCAGCACAGUAAGAGCUUGCUCUUACGGGUGGCGAGUGGCGGACGGGGGAGGAAUACAUCGGAAUCUACUUUUUCGUGGGGGAUAACGUAGGGAAACUUACGCUAAUACCGCAUACGACCUACGGGUGAAAGCAGGGGAUCUUCGGACCUUGCGCGAUUGAAUGAGCCGAUGUCGGAUUAGCUAGUUGGCGGGGUAAAGGCCCACCAAGCCGACGAUCCGUAGCUGGUCUGAGAGGAUGAUCAGCCACACUGGAACUGAGACACGGUCCAGACUCCUACGGGAGGCAGCAGUGGGGAAUAUUGGACAAUGGGCGCAAGCCUGAUCCAGCCAUACCGCGUGGGUGAAGAAGGCCUUCGGGUUGUAAAGCCCUUUUGUUGGGAAAGAAAAGCAGCAGGUUAAUACCCCGCUGUUCUGACGGUACCCAAAGAAUAAGCACCGGCUAACUUCGUG
rnacentral:rRNA from 1 species